rnacentral:rRNA from 1 species
CCGCGUGUGUGAAGAAGGCCUUUUGGUUGUAAAGCACUUUAAGCGAGGAGGAGGCUACCGAGAUUAAUACUCUUGGAUAGUGGACGUUACUCGCAGAAUAAGCACCGGCUAACUCUGUGCCAGCAGCCGCGGUAAUACAGAGGGUGCAAGCGUUAAUCGGAUUUACUGGGCGUAAAGCGCGCGUAGGUGGCCAAUUAAGUCAAAUGUGAAAUCCCCGAGCUUAACUUGGGAAUUGCAUUCGAUACUGGUUGGCUAGAGUAUGGGAGAGGAUGGUAGAAUUCCAGGUGUAGCGGUGAAAUGCGUAGAGAUCUGGAGGAAUACCGAUGGCGAAGGCAGCCAUCUGGCCUAAUACUGACACUGAGGUGCGAAAGCAUGGGGAGCAAACAGGAUUAGAUACCCUGGUAGUCCAUGCCGUAAACGAUGUCUACUAGCCGUUGGGGCCUUUGAGGCUUUAGUGGCGCAGCUAACGCGAUAAGUAGACCGCCUGGGGAGUACGGUCGCAAGACUAAAACUCAAAUGAAUUGACGGGGGCCCGCACAAGCGGUGGAGCAUGUGGUUUAAUUCGAUGCAACGCGAAGAACCUUACCUGGUCUUGACAUAGUAAGAACUUUCCAGAGAUGGAUUGGUGCCUUCGGGAACUUACAUACAGGUGCUGCAUGGCUGUCGUCAGCUCGUGUCGUGAGAUGUUGGGUUAAGUCCCGCAACGAGCGCAACCCUUUUCCUUAUUUGCCAGCGGGUUAAGCCGGGAACUUUAAGGAUACUGCCAGUGACAAACUGGAGGAAGGCGGGGACGACGUCAAGUCAUCAUGGCCCUUACGACCAGGGCUACACACGUGCUACAAUGGUCGGUACAAAGGGUUGCUACCUCGCGAGAGGAUGCUAAUCUCAAAAAGCCGAUCGUAGUCCGGAUUGGAGUCUGCAACUCGACUCCAUGAAGUCGGAAUCGC